UAUUAGUAUGGCCACAACGAAAUUGUGUACAUGCAAAAUGGACAACUGCGUUGUUUUGUGUACACGCCGGCCAUUGCUAUGUUGCUGCUCUCUCACAAACGUUCAUGUAGAAGGAUUCACAACGCCAUUGUCAAUUCACUGUAUUGCUGCUGCAGUCUGUCGCGAGCAUUGUGUUCCGCACAUUACUCGGUAAUAUCACAUCAGCUGUUUGUUUAUUGUUCGUUGCUUUAUGAAUUUUUAACGGAAAAAUAAGUCUGGUGUUCGUUACUUUAUACAUUUUUAAACGGUGAAAAUAAAUUUGGUGCUCACUUCGUGAAUUAGGAAAAAUUUUGCAAAAUGGAACCUCAAAAGGAAAUACGCUGGAGGGCAAAGUCUAAAAAAAAAUUGAGGAAGAAAACCAUUUGGUUCUAGAAUAUUUACUAGAAAAUGGGGAAAUUGAAAAACCAACCGCCCAAUUGUACUACUAAAAAUUAAUUGAAACAAAUAUCGAUGCGACUAUGGACAUGUUACGCUGGAAGGUCCGGUACCGGAAGCAGAUGUAUAAUAAAGCUGACGAUUGGCGCAAAUCGACAGGGGCCGCAAUAGGCGUUGGUGAUGAAGUUUUCUCAAUAAAAGGUAAAUGCGGCUUUAAUGUUAAGUGAAACUUUUUUGGUUUGGUUUGGUUAGCAAAACUUUCACAAAUGUGUCCGAAUUAUGAAAGGUUUUCGGUUCUAUUUGGGGGUAAAUCCGAAGCCAAUUGUAUUGUAAGUUGGAGCAAUAAGACAGACUAACAAUGAUUGCACUAAGGUACAAAUAUAAUAUAUAACAAUUUUAUAUGUUUUAUGUAAUAAUUUUUAAGAAUGUACAAUUGUAUCUAAAUGUGAUAUCUUGAAGUGAUACAACUUUUUAUAAACAUGAAAAAUGA